rnacentral:rRNA from 1 species
CGCUCAGAUUGAACGCUGGCGGCAGGCCUAACACAUGCAAGUCGAACGGCAGCACAGAAGAGCUUGCUCUUUGGGUGGCGAGUGGCGGACGGGUGAGUAAUGUCUGGGAAACUGCCCGAUGGAGGGGGAUAACUACUGGAAACGGUAGCUAAUACCGCAUAACGUCGCAAGACCAAAGUGGGGGACCUUCGGGCCUCACACCAUCGGAUGUGCCCAGAUGGGAUUAGCUAGUAGGUGGGGUAAUGGCUCACCUAGGCGACGAUCCCUAGCUGGUCUGAGAGGAUGACCAGCCACACUGGAACUGAGACACGGUCCAGACUCCUACGGGAGGCAGCAGUGGGGAAUAUUGCACAAUGGGCGCAAGCCUGAUGCAGCCAUGCCGCGUGUAUGAAGAAGGCCUUCGGGUUGUAAAGUACUUUCAGCGGGGAGGAAGGCGGUGAGGUUAAUAACCUCGCCGAUUGACGUUACCCGCAGAAGAAGCACCGGCUAACUCCGUGCCAGCAGCCGCGGUAAUACGGAGGGUGCAAGCGUUAAUCGGAAUUACUGGGCGUAAAGCGCACGCAGGCGGUCUGUUAAGUCAGAUGUGAAAUCCCCGGGCUUAACCUGGGAACUGCAUUUGAAACUGGCAGGCUUGAGUCUCGUAGAGGGGGGUAGAAUUCCAGGUGUAGCGGUGAAAUGCGUAGAGAUCUGGAGGAAUACCGGUGGCGAAGGCG